ACCUGGGUGGCUCAGUUGGUUGAGCAUCUGACUUUCGGUCAGGUCACAAUCUUGCAGUUAGUGAGUUCAAGCCCCACAUCAGGCU
rnacentral:tRNA from 1 species